rnacentral:misc_RNA from 1 species
UUAAGUUCAGCGGGUAGUCCUACCUGAUUUGAGGUCAAAUUGUCAAAGCGUUGUCCAAUUGAAGGACCAUUAGAAGCUGAUUUCAACAAGAGCAAUACAGUGAAGAUAUUAUCACACCGCAUAUACGCUGCUUGUAAGACUUCAGCUAAUGCAUUUGAGGGAAGCCAAUUCAGCAUUAGAACCAGCAAGUCCCCAAGUCC